rnacentral:lncRNA from 1 species
UAAAAAUCACAUCCUCAGUCACUGCAUGUGGAAUUAAGUAGUGAGAAGGAGGGUGGCGCCUUAACCCUUCCAAAAUCACAGCCUUAAGAUAAGGUAACUUCUCCAAAUCUUCCUCUUUUACAUCUCUUUCCUCUCUAUCACCAAUAACUUCUCCAAUUUCCUCCACUAUCCUCUGUUGUACAUGUCCAUAUUUCACCAAAUUUGCCAUAAUCCAUUCCAAUGCAGAUGAAGUUGUAUCAGUUCCUGCAGUUAGAAACUCUGAACAGAGCGCAGCAAGUUCAUUGUCAUCAAGCUUCCGUUUUUCCUCAGGCAAUUGUAUAUUCAACAAGGUAUCAACAUAACAAAUGAAACUUUCAUCAUCAAUGCCAUUUUCAUUAUUUUCCUUUUCUCUCGCUCUUAUUAGUUCAAUAAAUAUAUCCUUUUGAUCCUUUUGAAGAUUCAAAUACUCAUUCCAACGCUUUCGGAACAACAUCUGAGAGAUUGCUUUUGGAAAAUAAUUUAGCACACCAAAUUUUCCGGAGCUUAUAAUCCAAAGGCGUUGGACGUGCUUAAUGACUUCAAUUUUCUCGUUGUCAACUUUUUCACCGAAACACAUAAAAACUAGUAAGCAAAAAAUUGCAUGAUGAAUGUGAUUGAUCAACUUAAUAGAAUAAUUUGAUGCAG